rnacentral:snRNA from 1 species
GUCUUGGUUCUCAGCACAUAUACUUAAGUUGGAAAGAUACAGAGAAGAUUAGCAUGGCCACUGCACAAAAGCAUUUCUCUACACUGUUUU